GGUGACGUAGUGGUUAAACAUUUGGCUGCUAACCAAAAGGUUGGUGGUUCAAACCCACCAGUGGCUC
rnacentral:tRNA from 1 species